rnacentral:sRNA from 1 species
GUUAGGUACACAGACCCAUUAAAGCGGUUUAGUAAAGCAGUUCUCAUCUCAAGCGUUAUCCACAGAUAAUCCUUUCUUUUGAGCCUUCUUAUCGUUACUAAUUAGAUUGUGUGCGAAGCCCUUUUCGCCGUAAGGCUACAUAGAAUUUAAGGAAUUACCUGUGUCUAAUAAAAUGACUGGUUUAGUAAAAUGGUUUAACGAGUCUAAAGGUUUUGGUUUUAUUACCCCUGACAAUGGUAGUAAAGAUGUGUUUGUACACUUCUCUGCUAUUCAGAGUGGUGGCUUUAAAACGCUGAAUGAAGGCCAAAAAGUUGAGUUCAGCAUUACUGCUGGUGCAAAAGGGCCGUCAGCUGAAAACGUUGUAGCUGCCUGAUAUUUUU